GGUGAACCGGCGGAAUCGGCGUGACGGAAUCGCCGAGACACCCGAUGGCCAUGUCUCUCGCGACUUAAUCAAGGGAAGUCAAUAAACGUCGUCCACCCAUUCCGCGGAUGCCCAGCAGAAGUUUUCAACGGAUCUUUAUCGGGCACGACAGGCGCACGUAUGAUAUCCACGGGACUUUUGCCAGUUGUCCAGCGCUGCCUGGAGCCCGUAAUAGAUGCUUAACUGUAGCUGAUAGCCAGUACAAAUUUAAGAGAGACAGAGUAGUUUUCUUCCGGGUAAUUUUACCUGACAGUGAGACGCGUGUGAGAGAAGUUCCGUGAACAUUAUCUAAAAUUAAUUGAUCCCCUGUUAGUGUUCCUUGUUCAAUGAGAAGAAAUUAAUAAAGCAUUUAAAUUAGCAUUAAUUAAUAUACAGUCGAAGUAUGGAGGAGUUGUACUAUUACAUACGCACAAUUAUAUCUUUUGACGCCUAUAUUAUUAUCUAGUUUUAUUGAUUUCUAUUAACAUACACACCCCGUGCCGCAUGGGUCAUGCAUCAGUGACAAGUCAUAAAACUGGCACGGUAAGGAGAUGUGUUAAUAAAAAUUAAUGUUCCAUUGAAAACUAGUGCAAAAGAAUUGCACCACAAUUUCAAUUUUAAUUUACACUGUUCUUCCAUCGUUUCUAAAGAGAGAAGUUGAACUCAGCGCAAUUUUGUUGCACCAGUUUUGUCAGUGGAACGUUAACUUUUAUUAACACAUUUUCAUAUCGCGCCAGUUUUGAUAAUUUGUCACCGCGUGAUCCACGCGACACGAGACAUGUUAUAUUAUUUAUUUAAUAUUGUGCGUAUAUUAUCUCUGUUAAUUCUUUUUAAUUUAUUGUUUUGAAAAUUUUUUCUGUCACAACGACAUCGUAUAGUAUGACGUGUGUAAAUUUCGGAGAAAUAUAUCCAAAUAACAUAACAUCAA